rnacentral:other from 1 species
GGUCUCCUGGGAUGUUUGCUAGUUCAGUCAUGUCCCUGCCGAUGCUUUUUACCAAGGAAGUUGAUUCGGUUGUUUUUGUGCAAGCUCGACUCGUAUCGAGAAGCCUGCGGCAACGAUGAUACCUCCGCCCUGAACUUUUCGGUUCACGGGCAAACCUGGACGGCGGCAUUUUGGGAGCCUA